rnacentral:rRNA from 1 species
CACGCCGUAAACGAUGGGUGCUAGGUGUUACGGGCUUUGACUCCUGUGGCGCCGUAGCUAACGCAUUAAGCACCCCGCCUGGGAAGUACGGCCGCAAGGCUAAAACUCAAAGGAAUUGACGGGGGCCCGCACAAGCGGUGGAGCAUGUGGUUUAAUUCGACGCAACGCGAAGAACCUUACCUGGGCUAGAAAAUGCAAGAACCUGGGAGAAGUCUCGGGGUGCUCUUCGGAGAACUUGUAGUUAGGUGC